CAACAUGUAGUUUGUUGUCAUGGUGACUGUCAGCUGUGCGGCAGUCCCAGCCAAUCACGGUGGGAGACUAUCUAUAAAGGCGGGCGUAGAGCACCUGUCGGCCUCUUGCUUGCCGUAGGCUGGGUCACGUUGCGCCUGGGCGUCCAUUUCCGCUUCCGUGCGGUGACAGGCUCUUGCUUGCCGGAGGCUGGGUCACGUAGCUCCUGUGCGUCUAUUUCCGCUUCUGUGCAGUGAUAGGUGAGCUGCCGGUCACGGCUGCAUCUCUCUUAUACGUUGCCUUUCCAGUGCUAAUUUUAGUUAUUGUGUUGUAAAGGGCUCACUUGGAUGUUGCUGCUGGCUGCGUGCUGCUCAUCGAUACAUAGCCGAUGCCGCCUACUGAACUGUCGCUUUUGUAUAGCGUCCCGUUCCCUGCUCCACGCCACGUUGGCCGGGACUGCCCGAUUGGGUGGCCGACAGUAGCGGCGCAGCGGCGGCCAAUCCACCUAUAAAAACCACUGCUGCUUUGCUUCCACGUUAUUACCGCCUUGCCAGGGGCCAGCUCGGACCCGAUCGCUUUGCCGUUCAUUCGGCUAGCGAUAGUUUGUUCCUUUUCCUGUUGUGUCUCUAUCUCUUUUGUUUAGUUGGUGUAACUACAUCUUAAAGUGUGUAUGUUAUGUUAUGUAAGAGUUUUUGCUGAUUUCUCCUUGUGUUUACUUAUUAUAGAUUUUGUUUAUUUAAUUAAUUUCUCUUAUUAUUAUUUUGUUUCCAUUAUGUUUUCUAACUGGUUGCUCUGCGAUCCCCCUCAAUUCAGGUGCUGAGCCUACGGUGGUGGACUGGUGUCCCCUUUGUAUUGUGUUUGCAUUUGGUUUAUUUUUCAUUUGUUUUACGUGUGGUGUUCCUGGGACCCCCUUUCCUUUGGAUGCAGGUGUUCACAGUAGGUCUCAGCACUGAUUGGAUCUCAGCACCCAAUUUCCCUCCUUAGUGAGUAAUUCUUUAGUAGUCUUAAGAACAGACAUUUUCUAUAAAUAAAAG